rnacentral:lncRNA from 1 species
CAUUAGAUACGAAUCCAAAGAUGAAGAGAAAAACAAAAAAUAUCACUACUUUGUAAAUGAAGAGUUUUAGAGUAAGCAUUACACAAUCUCCAAGAUGAUUUUUUUUUGAAAAAAAAAGAGAAUAGAUCAUCCAUUUUUCUACCGCAUAUCCUAGUUUGACACCAAGCAACGAAGCUCUUUCUCUAAAAGAAUUUUUCUAAAUUCUUUUCUAAUAAGAGUUUGUCAUUAACCAAAAAUUUUUAUAUACACAAGAGAAUCCUAAUAAGGUCUUUCACUCGAAAGGAAAGUGCAAAAAAAGAAGGA